GAAUGCUGACAUAAGUAACGAUAAAGCGGGUGAAAAGCCCGCUCGCCGGAAGACCAAGGGUUCCUGUCCAACGUUAAUCGGGGCAGGGUGAGUCGACCCCUAAGGCGAGGCCGAAAGGCGUAGUCGAUGGGAAACGGGUUAAUAUUCCCGUACUUGGUGUUACUGCGAAGGGGGGACGGAGAAGGCUAUGUUGGCCGGGCGACGGUUGUCCCGGUUUAAGCGUGUAGGUGUGUGUUCCAGGUAAAUCCGGUUCACUUUAACACUGAGGCGUGACGACGAGGCACUACGGUGCUGAAGCAACAAAUGCCCUGCUUCCAGGAAAAGCCUCUAAGCAUCAGGUAACAUCAAAUCGUACCCCAAACCGACACAGGUGGUCAGGUAGAGAAUACCAAGGCGCUUGAGAGAACUCGGGUGAAGGAACUAGGCAAAAUGGUGCCGUAACUUCGGGAGAAGGCACGCUGACACGUAGGUGAAGUGAUUUACUCAUGGAGCUGAAGUCAGUCGAAGAUACCAGCUGGCUGCAA
rnacentral:rRNA from 1 species